rnacentral:rRNA from 1 species
AUGAACGCUGGCGGCGUGCCUAAUACAUGCAAGUCGAGCGAACGGACGAGAAGCUUGCUUCUCUGAUGUUAGCGGCGGACGGGUGAGUAACACGUGGAUAACCUACCUAUAAGACUGGGAUAACUUCGGGAAACCGGAGCCAAUACCGGAUGAUAUUUUGAACCGCAUGGUUCAAAAGUGAAAGACGGUCUUGCUGUCACUUAUAGAUGGAUCCGCGCUGCAUUAGCUAGUUGGUAAGGUAACGGCUUACCAAGGCAACGAUGCAUAGCCGACCUGAGAGGGUGAUCGGCCACACUGGAACUGAGACACGGUCCAGACUCCUACGGGAGGCAGCAGUAGGGAAUCUUCCGCAAUGGGCGAAAGCCUGACGGAGCAACGCCGCGUGAGUGAUGAAGGUCUUCGGAUCGUAAAACUCUGUUAUUAGGGAAGAACAUAUGUGUAAGUAACUGUGCACAUCUUGACGGUACCUAAUCAGAAAGCCACGGCUAACUACGUG